UGUUCUGACACACUGAAGCUAUGCCUUACC
rnacentral:piRNA from 2 species